rnacentral:rRNA from 1 species
UACGGAAGGCAGCAGUGGGGAAUAUUGCACAAUGGGCGAAAGCCUGAUGCAGCUAUGCCGCGUGUAUGAAGAAGGCCUUAGGGUUGUAAAGUACUUUCAUCGGGGAGGAAAAAACAAAACUAAUAAUUUUAUUUCUUGACGUUACCCGAAAAAGAAGCACCGGCUAACUCCGUGCCAGCAGCCGCGGUAAUACGGAGGGUGCUAGCGUUAAUCAGAAUUACUGGGCGUAAAGAGCACGUAGGUGGUUUUUUUAAGUCAGAUGUGAAAUCCCUGGGCUUAACCUAGGAACUGCAUUUUGAAACUGAAAUACUAGAGUAUCGUAGAGGGAGGUAGAAUUCUAGGUGUAGCGGUGAAAUGCGUAGAUAUCUGGAGGAAUACCUGUGGCGAAAGCGGCCUCCUAAACGAAUACUGACACUGAGGUGCGAAAGCGUGGGGAGCAAACAGGGAUUAGAUGCC